UACGUAGGGUGCGAGCGUUAAUCGGAAUUACUGGGCGUAAAGCGCGCGUAGGUGGUUCGUUAAGUUGGAUGUGAAAUCCCCGGGCUCAACCUGGGAAUUGCAUCUGUGACUGCAUCGCUAGAGUACGGUAGAGGGGGAUGGAAUUCCGCGUGUAGCAGUGAAAUGCGUAGAUAUGCGGAGGAACACCGAUGGCGAAGGCAAUCCCCUGGACCUGUACUGACGCUCAUGCACGAAAGCGUGGGGAGCAAACAGG
rnacentral:rRNA from 1 species